UGAUAACAGUGACUCCACAGUCGGUUUUAUGCAUUACACAUUCAUGUUCACACUGUAAACAUUCUGUGCAGUGGUGUAUUUAUAGACGCUUCAUUUGUUCAUUGUUUCCAAGAAACGCAGCCUGAGCCCUAAAAGUGAAAGUAAAAGUACCAGAUAAAAAACAAGCUGUGGCUUGCAUUUUGUCCACCAACGAAUUCAGUCCAGAGCGUGUAACUCGGCUGAGAUCCCCCUUCAAAAUGACCCAAGGUAUGUGUUCUUGAUAAAAUCUUAUUGCAUGAUAUUAUGUGAUAUUGUGCUGAUCCUGUUGAACCAUUUGCUCUGUGAAUGCGACUUGAGAAAUUGAAGCAUUUGCAUGUUUUCAGCCCAUUCCAUUAACCCUUUAUUUCCACAGUUAAUCAUGUAAAAGCUUCUUCUUUUUUCCUGAUGCACAUUCUUUCCAGCGAUAAUCAGAGUUUUUGUCAAGGUCCUUGGGAACACCAUGAAUUCCCACAAGACCUUCAUGGAGCGUCUGACAAUUUCACAAAAACUUCGUGAAGUGAAUUCGGUGAACGACAGUGAUGUCAUCAUUGCUUUUGUCCCAAUUGUGUCUCGAGCUGGAACUGACAUUGGAGCUGCAAUGGCCAAAAUUCCUCAGGAUAAGCCUGUCGUUUUUGUGGCGCUCCACCACACGUUUAAUCUAGAUGAAAUUGUUCCAGACAGCAGACUCUGUGUAAACACAGACAGAGUGUUUGCUGUAGAUUGUCUCUAUCAUGAAGACCAAGGUCUGCUGAAUUGCCGGCACAAUGACGAUGCGAUCAGAGCCGUGAAGAAGCACCUGAGAUGCGACGACCACACUGAGGACGACUCCAGCUGGGCAAGCCGUUUUUGGCUCAAACUACGUAAAUCCGAUGCAGAAACUGGGGGGGCGAUCCACCCUCAAUUUCCAAGCCAUGGUGCGUCACACGCCCCUGCUGACUUCCGAAGUUACAACAACGUAAAUAUGAUGCAGAAACUGGGGGGGCGAUCCACCCUCAAUUUCCAAGGCAUGGGUGCGGACAAGGCCGAAUUUAUUCCUUGGUUAUGCGCCGUGCUGAGCAGCUUUCUUUUUUACUUUGUUCUGCCAGAAGGGUACAGCUUCUUCCACUUCUUAAUUUUGGAGAUAUUUCUGAUGAUCAUAUCUGGGUCCCUGAGGUACUACAGCAAGUAUCUCAAAAAUAGCAAAUACCACCUUGGGAAGUGGACUCCUUGGAUUUUUACUGGUAUGAACGUUGUCCUCAUGCUUGUCACAUAGUCCCUCCGAGGAGUCUGUGCAUGAGUUGAAUAAUGCCACUGAACACAGUCAAAACAUGUGAUACGGAUAAUAUUGCUUUGCCUGAUAUUGUGGUAUGUGGUUUAGAAAACUUGUUAAUAUUAAAUAAACACUUCUCUGUUCAAUAAUAAACUAUAGGAAUGGGGACAAAAAUGUGUUCAUUUGUGGUUUUGUUAAAAGUUCAAAUUAAAAGAAGUGAAUUCAGGAUUAAUAGAAAGAUUUGAUUUAAGAUUAAAUUAAAAAUAAACUAAAAUUAAAUGAAAUAAAUCAAAUGAGUAAAAUACACAGUACUGUGCAACAGUCUUAGGGACUCUUUGUUUAGCAUAAAUUUUGUUAUAGAUAUUUAUUUGAUGAAUUCUGCUUUAUCGAGUCAGUACAGAAACAUUUUAGAUCUCCAAACAUUACUUAUCCAAAAGUAUAAUGUUGCAGAAAAAUAUUUACGUUAGAAGAGAAAGCAACGUAUUACAUAAGACACCACUUUUCAGAGAAAUAAACAUAAUGAAGGCGGCUGGGUUUUGCAUGCGAAAAAGAAGAAGAAGCA
ensembl:lncRNA